GGGGGCACGAUCAUCCGGUGAACUAAAGCAAGUAGGCAUAGUUGGGUGUGGUGCAGAAGAGGGGCGGAGUGGUGCGCCACAGUGGCCCCGUGACAGAGGACUCGGUAAAGCUGUCCGGGAGCUUGAACUUUACCUUGAGGGCAAAGGGGAGCUGGGGAAGAGUUUAAGGGGAAGAAUGACACGGUCUGGUUGGCAGUUUGGAAAGAUGCCUCUGGCUGCUGGGUGCGGGUUUGGAAGGAGCAGAGACAAGAGAAGGGGCUGGAACGAGGAGCCAGUUUCAGCACAGAAAGUCUUGUGUCCUGAAAACCUCCUCAGUCUCCACAAAGCGGAAGAGGGCCCCAAGGAAGCAGAGAGCAGAUGGUGGUGGAGGAGGUGGGGCAAGACCAGAAGAGACAAUGACUUAUUCUUCUCUGUCCUGUGGACACUCACUGAGGGCCACUCUGCGUCUGGGACACCAGGGACUGGCCCAAGGUCACAGAGGGCCCUAGGCUGGGGAGAAGUCAAGGCUGACCCUGGGUCCCCAACUCCAGGUUCCACCACCACAAACAAGUCUAGGGGGGGCCACCUGUACCCUCUGUGGACUCUUGCCCUCCCUGCCCCAUUCCCAGAGAAUCCUUAGACAUCGGAGCCCACCUUAGAGCUCUAGUAUUGUUUUUUAUAAAACUGGAAUCGACUUAUCCCAUAAGCUCAAACAAUACAAAGCAGCAUAAAGAACACUUCAAAACGUUGAAAUUUUACUUCUGGGGGUGAAGAACCACCCCUAAAAGAGGUGGCAGAGCUAAGUGCUCACCAGCACAGCCUCCCAGGCCCAAGUGCCUGGCGCCCAAGAUGGCGCGCACACCGGCACCCAGCAAGCUUUACACUUACUAUUUCCACAUUUUACAAUGUUUGUGAAGUAUAAUUCCCCAAAAGUGUUUUUGAAAUGCAAAGGAACAAUAAUAAACCCUAUAUAUAUUUUCAGUAAUAUCUAAUUAACGAGGUGUUUGUAAAGAUAAAAUGAGAAAAAGCUUGUGACUCUUAGC
rnacentral:lncRNA from 1 species